UACGGGGGGGCAAGCGUUGUUCGGAAUUACUGGGCGUAAAGGGCUCGUAGGCGGCCAACUAAGUCAUACGUGAAAUCCCUCGGCUUAACCGGGGAACUGCGUCUGAUACUGGAUGGCUUGAGUUCGGGAGAGGGAUGCGGAAUUCCAGGUGUAGCGGUGAAAUGCGUAGAUAUCUGGAGGAACACCGGUGGCGAAGGCGGCAUCCUGGACCGAUACUGACGCUGAGGCGCGAAAGCCAGGGGAGCAA
rnacentral:rRNA from 1 species